GACGAACGCUGGCGGCGCGCCUAACACAUGCAAGUCGAACGAGCGAGAGAGAGCUUGCUUUCUCGAGCGAGUGGCGAACGGGUGAGUAACGCGUGAGGAACCUGCCUCAAAGAGGGGGACAACAGUUGGAAACGACUGCUAAUACCGCAUAAGCCCACGACCCGGCAUCGGGUUGAGGGAAAAAGGAGCAAUCCGCUUUGAGAUGGCCUCGCGUCCGAUUAGCUAGUUGGUGAGGUAACGGCCCACCAAGGCGACGAUGCGUAGCCGACCUGAGAGGGUGACCGGCCACACUGGGACUGAGACACGGCCCAG
rnacentral:rRNA from 1 species